GGAGGGAGUCGCUGACGCGGAGACUGACUGACCUACAGAGCGGCUGAGGGUAGAGAAGCAAUUGGGGAAGACAGAUGGACAGAAGACAUCAGCCUCUGGCCUCCACAGACACUUACAUGCACAGACACAUGCUCAUGUAAGAACAUAAAACCGUAUGGGUGAACAACUAGAUGGAUGAAAUGCACAGCAUAUAGGCAGUGGCUUCGAGUGUCUUCCUGAAAUUUUAGCUUAUUCUUUCUAGUAGCUAAUCUGCUCCAGCUCUUUGAACUUUUCUGAAUACGUGAUAUCAUUAACCACUGUCAUAGCAUUUCAACUUUUACCUCUUUCUCCAGAAGAGGUCUGGGAUUAGGACUGAAAGCAUCCACUUUAAUACAGUGGUUAUUUUCACUAGAAAGUUCUGAAGCUAUCCAAGAGCACAGGCAGAGACACUGCAUUAGAAUAACAGAGUCUUCUCCCAUCUGGGGAACUCAAAGGAAUUUAGGAGCUCUGUGACAGGCUAUGGUUCAAAACCAAGUAUCAGAACCAGGGUGGGGUUUUCUGUUGUUGGUUGAUUGGUUUUGUUUGUUGUUUUUGUGUACAUCUACCUCCAACUCAAGGGAUCCACCUGCCUCUGUCUCCCAAGUGUUGAGAUUAAUCACUAUAUCUAGCCAGAACUAAGGAUUCUUAUGUCAUUCUCUGUAAGGACUACAGGAGCUGUGUAUCUCUUUAAAACCUCAGUAUCACACUGGCAUAUUCUUCCAAAUUUUAAAGGAGAUGACAUGUUAAGUACAUAUGUCUAGUGGUAUAAGGAUAGCGGAGCAGAAAUGUGAGCCCAUUUGGGAGGUGUGUAUUCAAUCUCUACACUGUGCUAAGUGAAGUUGAACUAAAGACAUCAGGUCCUAGCAUUAUUGUUACUAGGAGCUGUCACUCAUCUUGGGAAACCCAGAACAGUACAAUUGUUGUAAGAUUUAUUAUUAUCGUCCUGAUGCUCGGUGUUUUCAGGAGUCAGGAAAGUUAAAGAUCUGAGAAAUUGAAAAGUUGGAGGACUAGAACCAAACCCACAGUAGGUCAGGUAAGAGGAAGAGAAAAGCAGGGAGGCCAGAGAGAGGGGAGAGCUGGACGACCUCCGAGCUGUAGUGGAAGUCUUAUGCUUGCAGAAAGAGCAUCACACAUAGACUCCUCAAAUAGGGUUCUUAAUCUGAAGUUUUGGGUCUCCAGGUUAACUGUAUGGAGACCUGUGCUUGCUCACAGACAGAACAGGGAACUUCUCUAUUUGUGUAAAUCGAUUAGACCUGGAGCCUUAUCUGACUCAGCAUAGUAAAAAAUGACAAAGCAUUAUUUUGGCAAAUGGCCAUCCUUCUCAUAUUCAGAAAUGGACAACCGUAUCUUUCUACCUGCUAGACAAGCAUUCCACCAACUGAACUAUGUCCAGACUCAGACUUUUGACUUUUGCUUUACAACAGAGGAUGGUCAUUGAUUUUUUUUUUUUUCCCCCAACCACCCACCCCUUCCUGCCUCCCUGCCCUGACAUUCCCG
ensembl:lncRNA